UACAGAGACUGCAAGCGUUAUUCGGAUUCACUGGGCGUAAAGGGUGCGUAGGCGGUUUCAAAAGUCUGUUGUUAAAGCCCACAGCUCAACUGUGGAUCGGCAAUGGAAACUGUGGGACUAGAGAAUGGUAGGGGUAGAGGGAAUUCCUAGUGUAGCGGUGAAAUGCGUAGAUAUUAGGAAGAACACCAGUGGCGAAGGCGCUCUCCUGGGCCAUUACUGACGCUGAUGGACGAAAGCUAGGGGAGCGAAAGGG
rnacentral:rRNA from 1 species